UGUCAGAGGUCCACUUAUGAUUUCAAGCGAAAUAAUUUAACUACUGCUCGUCGUGACGGUCGCCCCAGGAAAUUGGAGGAAGGAGCUGUGGUUGAGGACUUGCAGAGAGAACUUGAUGCAAGAUUGCAGAGGGAAGUGGCAUUAGAAGGUGCUUUAUUUGAGAAAGAACAGAUGGAAAGUGAACUACGAAAAAGAAUCAAUGAAGCAAAACAACGGGAAGAAGAUUUUGAAAAUGAGCUUGCCAAUAUGUGGGUGCUAAUUGCAAAGAUGAGAAAGUCUGACAUUAAUGCUGAGGAUGCAUCUUCCGAGGAUGUCAAUGCAUUGAAUUUCUCAAAAAUAGGAGUUCGAGGUGGUUUUCUCCCAAGUAAAAAUCAGUUGUUCAAAAUUUUCGAAGAGGGUGAAAGUUGUGAAAACAUUGAUGGUAUCAAAACAUUUGAGGAGUUAAGAGCUAGCUAUCAGAAAGAAAGGAGAAGAUGCAGAGAGCUAGAGAGUAUUAUUUCCAGAUUGAAGGGUGAAGGACUGUGAGAAUGCUGGAAGAACUGCAGGAGUUUCGUGUUGAGGUUGUAACAAAGAUUUGCCAUGCAAAGUGCACAGAUAAUGUACCAUAGUAUUCCAGUCACGAAGUCUAACCAAGUUAUAAUUGAUUCUCUUGAUCAAUGGAAUUAUUAACUUGAGCAAUGGAAUUAUUAACUUAUGAGGUUUGUCUUGAUCCAUGGCCUCUUUUUGUUCAUAUUUCAAUCAAGCAUUGGGUAUGAUGUUCAUAAGUUAAUACUAUUACUAUUGUACAUUAUGGCAAUUUAAUAAAAUACCAAUCCACAUAAUUUUAUCUGAAAGACAUGUACGGACAUGCAUUUUGAAUUCCUCUUGCCCCAUUAUUUUCUAUAUGAAGCCUUAGUUGCCAGUCUGCAUUCACUUAGAUGCUUACUGGCUACGUACAAGUUUCAGCUUUAAACUGACGACUGUAAUCGUUGAUGGUUGUCUUACCAUUUUCAAAGGUGUGAAGUCUUCUCCACUUCUUCUCAUGUACCUCAUUCUAAACAUAAAUGUCCAUUGGAUCUUCCUGGAUAUUUUAAUAUGUCUAGAUCCUCUACCUGUCCCCCCGUUGAUUUGCCAAUCAAUACAUUCACUCAGCAGAAUUUGACUUUCGAGAUUUGUGAAUUUAUUUCGCUGAUUGUUUUUGUUACAGAUUAAAUGCGACUAUAUUUAUCCCUUUACUUAGAUGUAAUUUUGUAGUUAUCAGCCUUGUGGAUGGUAAUAUCACUGAGAGUUUUUGAUGUUAUCAA